rnacentral:pre_miRNA from 1 species
UUAAUUCAAAUUUGUAUAGAGUUGGAACGUUAGCGUACGUUUGCCGCUAGGGGCGCUGUUCCAACUGCAUACAAAUUUGAAUUA